CGAGCACGCGCGUGUGGCAUAUCAAUAAGCGGAGGAAAAGAAACUAACUAGGAUUCCCUCAGUAACGGCGAGUGAAGCGGGAAGAGCUCAAAUUUGAAAUCUUCAAGGUUCUACCUUGACGAAUUGUAGUUUAAAGAAGUGUUUUCUGUUGGAGUUUUGGUAAAAGUUCUUUGGAAUAGGACAUCAUAGAGGGUGAGAAUCCCGUAUUUGACCAUUAUUUCCAACUUUGUGAUACACUUUCAAAGAGUCGGAUUGUUUGGGAAUGCAGUCCAAAAUGGGUGGUAAAUUUCAUCUAAAGCUAAAUACUGGCGAGAGACCGAUAGCGAACAAGUACCGUGAGGGAAAGAUGAAAAGAACUUUGAAAAGAGAGUUAAACAGUACGUGAAAUUGUCAAAAGGGAAGCGUUUGACACCAGUGUUGUUUUUCCGAAAAUCAAUUACGAAUGUAUUGAUUUUUGAGGAGUUAUGACUUCAUCGGCUUGCUCCUUUCUUUAUGAAACUUUCUUAAUGCACUUUUCGGUUAACAAGUCAACAUCAAUUUCUUUUGUUGUAAAAGGGUAUGAGGAAGGUGGCUUUCUUUUCGGAGAAAGUGUUUAUAGCCUUGUGCCUCUGCAAUCGGAGAGAUUGAGGUCUGCAGCGUAGAUCCUUCGGGGUUAGAUAGCAUUUGUGCUAAGUUAUAGCCUUUCAUAGACAACUUGUUGACUAUGAUUAGUCCUGUAGCUUACUCGCUUACUGCUAUUUUACCUACGCUUAGGAUGUUGAGUCAUCACACAUCUCU
rnacentral:rRNA from 1 species